rnacentral:lncRNA from 1 species
GAAGUGCUCAUGAUUUCUGAGUUAAGGCACCUCUCUUGGAACAUUUGCUCCAUUGUCAGGCUGCAGGGCCAGGCCCCCUCUGCUGGGCACAUGGGGCACUGCUCUGGGUCUCUCCUGAUGCAGAUGCAGAGGGGGCCCCUCAGGUCCAGCAGUGCCCGGAAGGAAGCCCUCAGGUGGUCUUGCCCAGAGUCCUGGCUGGAGUGCUUGGUUUGUUUGCCUUUGUUCCUCUCUGCUCACAUCUCCCCUGUUGACAAAAAGUACCCAGAGAGCCCCUGAAGCCGCACACCGCCCCUGGAACAGCUGGGACGCCCUGGUGCAUGUCCCUGCACCCCAGGCACAUGUCUUGUGAGCCUUCUGCUUCGGUUGGGUCCAUGGUUUGCAUGCUUAGGUCGGCUGUUGGUCAGCAAGGGGCCCAUUCCACAUAACCAAGCACAGACUUGAGUGUCCAAGGAGGGCCCCUCCCUCUGCUGUGUGUGCUGUGAGGGUCCUGAGCACAGCACAGGACUGCCCAGUGUUCUUUGUAAGGUGGAUGCUCUGAAGUUUUGCCAGCACAGCUGGAAUUGUCUUCUGAAUCCAACAUAGGCCUGGUGGCUUCUGACCACAUGCAGUGUCUCUGGCUCUGGCUGGGGUGAGGGUGGCCCUGGUCCUUGUGGAACCUGAUUGCAUGAUG